GAUCAAGCUACAAAGAGCAAGAGGAGGAUGCCUAGGUACAUGGCGCCGAAGAAGGACGUGACAAGCUGCGAAAAGCUGCGGGGAGGAGCAAAUAUCCGUUGAUCCGCAGAUAUCCGAAUGAGGGAACUCCAUGCAGUAAUACUGCAUGAUCGUAUGAUGAAUUCAUAGUCAUACGAGGGGAACCCGGGGAACUGAAACAUCUUAGUACCCUAACUGCGGCACGAAUCAUUGUGUGAUCGUCUUUUGUCAUUUUAAACUUUUUAAGG
rnacentral:rRNA from 1 species